CUACGGAGGGUCCAAGCGUUAUCCGGAAUCAUUGGGUUUAAAGGGUGCGCAGGCGGUUUAAUAAGUCAGUGGUGAAAUCUCGAGGCUCAACCUCGAAACUGCCAUUGAUACUGUUAGACUUGAGUUCAGUUGGAGUAGGCGGAAUGUGUAGUGUAGCGGUGAAAUGCUUAGAUAUUACACAGAACACCGAUAGCGAAGGCAGCUUACUAAACUGAUACCGACGCUGAGGCACGAAAGCGUGGGGAGCGAACAGGAUUAGAAACCCUAGUAGUCC
rnacentral:rRNA from 1 species